rnacentral:rRNA from 1 species
UAGGGAAUCUUCCACAAUGGGCGCAAGCCUGAUGGAGCAACGCCGCGUGAGUGAAGAAGGUCUUCGGAUCGUAAAACUCUGUUGUUAGAGAAGAACAUGCAGGAGAGUAACUGUUCUUGUAUUGACGGUAUUUAACCAGAAAGUCACGGCUAACUACGUGUCAG